ACUAUGAUGGGGGGUGGUGGGGCGCAACUAUGUAGAGUGUCUUCUGAAUAGGAUAUCGACUAGGGUAUUUUUGUCUCUACCUUAGUGUCUACCUUUAUGUCAACAUUUUUGUUUACCAUUAUUAUCUACCUUUGUGUCUACCUUCGUUUCUAACUUUAUGUCUCCGUUUGUAUGUGUACCUUUGUGUCUACCUUUGUUUCUACUUUAUGUGUGGUAUUCUUCUUGAUCUAUUUGGCCCUACACAGUUUACUUUCUUAAAUUCUUGAGGUUUGUCAUGUAACUGAGAAUAAGUGUAAAGAUCUCAAGCUAUUUGUGAUCGAGAAGCAAACAAUGCUUAUCUUGUUGAUGCCCAACAGUUACAUCUUCACUGAUGCAAAUUUCUCCUAUCUCAACACGAUAUUGGAUUGUGAAGGACAAACUAGUAUCAAACUAACUUUAUGAUCCAACUGUUUUGCUCCUCAAAAUUAGUGACUGAAAAAGGAGAAAAAUGCCUGAUAUGUUUUAGAGUCAAUUUUCAAUUCCAGUGAAGUAAGUGAAAGUCAAUUUAUUAGUCACGUGAUUACCUAAUUAAAUAUUACAUCGUUAUACAAAUCGACCAUAAAACUUUCAUAUGUUCUCUUUAUUAUUCCAUUACAUCACAUUUUAACUUCAUUCAUGUAUCAUAAGGUAAACAUAAGGUAAAUACAUUGACCAUCAUCAAAAAAAUGAUAUGUAAAAAUGUGAACAAGUCAACUGAUAAGCAAGAACUACUAUUUUUUGUGUUCUCUGUGAAUAAAGAUGGUUACUUUACGUAAAA